rnacentral:tRNA from 1 species
GGUUUUAUAGUUUAUAAAAAUAUUAAAUUGCAAAUUUAAAGAAGAUUAAUUAUCUAAGACUU